UACGAAGGGGGCAAGCGUUGUUUGGAAUUACUGGGCGUAAAGGGCGCGUAGGCGGCUUAUCAAGUCAGGCGUGAAAUUCCCGGGCUCAACCUGGGGGCUGCGCUUGAUACUGAUUGGCUUGAAUGCGGGAGAGGAUAGUGGAAUUCCCAGUGUAGAGGUGAAAUUCGUAGAUAUUGGGAAGAACACCGGUGGCGAAGGCGGCUAUCUGGCCCGUAAUUGACGCUGAGGCGCGAAAGCGUGGGGAGCAAACAGG
rnacentral:rRNA from 1 species